rnacentral:lncRNA from 1 species
UUGUUGUAACCAAAGUUAAUUCGAAGUACGCCAAAUUAUAUUGUCUUAUUUGUCACGACGGUGUUUCAAUUUGGCUAGUCAUAUCACCUCACUGUUUGUUUUUUUUCAAUUUAAAACUGAGGAAGUACCACACUUUUCUAUUAAAUUUAUUGCGAGAGCAACUUUUUUUUUUAAUUGAAGAAAUAGAGUAAUAUCAUCAGCUUGUUGGGAAAUUUAAUGAGUAUUGCUUUUACGUCUAUGUUCAUAUCUAGUUCUUUUAAGUUUUUGUGUUCCCCUUAUCUUGAUUGCGAUAACUUAUACAGCUAACACAAAUAUUGACGAUGAUAACAGAAACCAUUUUCUGAACCCACCUUAUAAAAUUAGUUUUAAAGCCAAUUUUUUUUAAAGUCUCAUACAUGAAGAGUCAAAUGCUUUUGUAAAAUCAAGUUGUUGUCCCAUAUAUUUUGAAAGUUUCCGAGUAAUCUAUAACAUCUUGUAUUUGUCGAAUAUUGAAAUAAAUUUUGCUAUUUUUGACAUGUCUUUUUUGGUCAGUAUGUAUGAUCUUUGGUAGCAGAGGUUUAAACCUUUGUGCUAAGGCAUAUUUUUUU